rnacentral:tRNA from 1 species
GGAUGGAUAUCUGAGCGGUUGAAAGAGUCGGUCUUGAAAACCGAUAUAUAUAUAUAUAUAUAUAUAUAUAUAUAUAUAUAUAUAUAUAUAUAAGGAGGCACUUGCAUACGUGAGGCUAUGGACCUGGUGGGUCCCCAUUGUCAUCCUAUCCA